rnacentral:lncRNA from 1 species
ACCGAACGACGUGCUUUGUCCUCCGCAAUUAAAUUAAAAGUGCAAGAUGAUGACAUUCGCGAAUAGCAACAAAUUGAUAAUUGCAGUGAACGCUUUCAUCGUUCUAGCCGUUAUAAUAUUGCUAUUAAUAUACCAUCAAAUGAACUAAGAAUGCAAAUCGGUGUAUGUGUUCGCUUUGCAGACGAAGACUGAUGCUGCUGCAUUUGCGGUGAGAGUGCGUGCCUCGCAUAAGUUAGAAACGUUAACCGGCAGCAGCAGGACGAAGGACGAAGGACGAAGGGGGAGCUGGCAGGGCGGAGCUGGAACUGAGUCUGGCAGGCAAACUAUGGCAGAGCGGAUCGAACAGAUUGAUGAGUUGUUGAAAAAUGGCAAACUUAAACAACAAUUCCACUCGGCAGAAUGGUUUAGAAAAGCGAAGAACGACAUGAAGGAUUUGAGUGCACACAAGGACGAGCAUUUACAUACACCCUACAUUUUUCAAUAAAUGCGUAAAUAAUAGUACUUUCAAAUUGUGUACGUGUAAUGUUUUUGGAUGCGAGAUUAUGUAAUGGAAUCGAUUUAAAUAAAACUAGAACUAGAACAAGAUGUGAUCUUCAUUAAAUAG